UCUAGCAGUUCUUCUUCCGCAGAAUGUACUUCGACAUUUCUAAAUUUGAUUCAUCGCGGUUCCCAUCUGUUAUUUGAGGCGAAUUUUCAAUUCGACUUAGGAAGUCCGCUACUACGUUGUCUUUACCCUUUACAUACUCCAUUUCGUAAUUGCACUCCUGGAGUUUUAGAAGCGACCUUUGAUGUCGUGGUGCAAAUUCUUUCCCUUUAUACUUGUUAUUUGGAUACUUAAUCGGGCAGUGAUCAGUUACUAUCUUAAAUUUUGCUCCGUAUAUGUAUGGUCUAAAAUAAGUCACUGCAUACAUGAUUGCAUGGAAUUCUUUGUCUGUCGUCGCAUAUUUCUGCUCAUGAUUGGGUAAUGUUCCUUAGAUGAAGCAUAUUGGUUGGCCUUGCUGUGAAAGAACAGCUCCAAUAGCGUAAUCGCUUGCAUCCCUAGUAAUUGUAAAUUUUUUGUCAUAUUCAGGAAAUUUUAAAAUUGGAUGUGAUGAGAUAAGUUUUUAAAUCUUCAAAGCUGGCUAUAUAUUGAGGAUCUCUCGGAUUUAUUGUGUUAUCUUUCUUUAAAUAUUCUAUCAUUGAGGAAGCUAUUCUAGAGUAAUCUUUAAUAAACUUUCUAUAAUAGCCUGUGGUCCCUAAAAACCCUUUUAAUUGCCUUUCUGUUUGAAUUGGUAAAUUUAAAAUGGCUAAAAUUUUUUCUGGGUUGGGCUUAAUACCGUGUUUUGUCAAAACGUGGCUCAAAAAUUCGGUUUCUCUUUUUAAAAAACAACACUUAUUUACUUGGAUUUUUAGGUUAUUUUCCUAAAACUUUGAAAUUUUUAUUUAUUUUAUUAAUAUGUUCCCUUAGGAUGUCGUUCAUUAGUCUCUGAAAAGUGGCUGGAGCCUUUUUAAGCCCAAACGGCAUCCUGACGCAUUCAUACAGGCCUGCUAGAGUCACAAAAGCUGUUUUCUCUAUAUCCUUCUCUGCCAUUAGGGACUGAUGGUAACCUUUAGCUAGAUCUAUGGUGCUAAAGUACUGUGCUUUGCCCAAUUUAUCUAAAAUUCCAUCAAUAUUCGGCAGGGGAUAUUUAUCGUCAACAGUAAUUGACGAAAUUUUUUUAUACCGGAACUAUCUGAUUUCCUUGGCACAAUUAUUAUUGGUGAGCUGUAUUUGCUUCGACUUUUUCUUAUUAUUCCUUGCUUUUCCAUUUCUUCAAUUGGCCUUUCCGCCUCGUCCCCAAAUUUUUGGGGGGCAAUCUGUGAAUUCGGGAAUUAAUUUGCUGAUCCGUUGUUGUUCUAAUUUCAUGAACAACGGUAUUCGUGUUUGUCAGAUCAUCUCCUUCUUUAUAAAUUAGCUGUUCGUACUUUUUUAAUAUUUCACUUAUUUUUAUCUUUUCUUCUGAGUUUAAAUGGUCGAGUUGAAUGUUACUAACUUCACUUUUUUUCAACGAGUAAACUUGCUCCUGCAUAAUUUUCGUAUGGAAUUGAAGCUUGACACCAUUUCUCAAUCCCAUUUCUUUGUUUUCAAUGUUUAUCGUUUUCACAUUUGUAAAUAUAAAAUCAUUCCCCAGUAUAAGAUCGUAUGGCUUGUUAUAAUCCAUUUUUAACCAUCGCAUUUUUGCAUUUUGAGGGUAUCUAAAUUCUAAUGGACAUGGUGUCUUAACCCUUCGUUCAUCGCCCUUAUUUCUCCAUUCAGUGUACUGAUUAUUGUUUUAUUUUUUUCUAAAACUGGUAAAUUUUACUUUUCGAAACUCGCUCUUUUCAUUAUGCUUAUGGUAGAGCCUGGGUCUACUAAUGCACACCAUUUAUUAUUAAAUAGAGUGAUUGAAAUUAAAAUUUUAUUUUGAUUUUCCGAUUGGUAAAAAAUUCCUCGUUGUUAUUUUAUUCCUUUGCUCUGCUUGGACGUUAUGAACCGCCAUGGGUGUUGGUCAAUUUGAGCGUCUUGAUUGCCGCGUGCCAUUCUGUACAGGUUGCCUUGCAGAAUUGCCGUAACCGUUAUUACUACGAUAUUGACUAUUUUGACCUGAAUUUCCAGAAUAAGUUUGUCUGUGGGGACUAUUUGGGUGAUAAAUAUUUUGCCUUGAAAAGUUUGUAUUUCUUUGGGUGUAUCGUCCGGAAUUAUUUUGUGAAUAAUAAUAAUUAUUAUUACGGGGAUAUUGUCCUGAAUUACUUUGGAAACAAUCAAUAUUUUGCUCACUACCAUUUUGUCUCCUAUCGUUGUUUGUUCUUUGAUUAUUCUGGUUUCUGUUACUGUUAAAAUUUGUAGUAUUUUGAGAAAAUGAGUCCAAAAAUCUAUUUUGUGUUACAAACAUAGGGUUUAAGUUUCCAUCGUCCUGCCCUAUGAAAUUGUGGAUUGUAUUUGUCAUGUGUGUCCAUGUCGUUAUAUUUCGCACUAUAUAGGCGGACGUCCCUGCUGUUAGUUGCUUUAUCUUUUGUAUAAGCACUCCUGUAAAUAUUUCUUUCAUUAUGUUUCCUGACUCACUUAAUGCACAAUAUUCCGUAAUAUUAUCAAUUAUUUCCUUAGCUUUUCUACUAAGUUCAUUGAUACUUCCCACCCUAAGUUUGGUGAUGUCGUUGGUCAAAGUCAUCUGGUCUUUUGUUGGCCUGAAGUGCUGUUUUAAUUUUAUUUUGCGCAUUUCCCAAUUUUCGGGUGGACUUAAUGUCAAAAAAUUUUAUGCUGUACCUAAUAUUUUUAAAUUAUAAACUAUUCUGAAAACUAGCUGUUGUUGUUCCACGUAAUCAUUUAAUAUCCUAUCAAUUGCCCCAAUAAACGCCGGUAAUUUUCUUGCAUUACCUUCGAAUGGCUGCAAGUAUUUUAAAUCUUUUUCAAUUUUCUGCCUAAAUGUUGUAUUUUGUUGUUGGGCGUUUAGUUGCAACAAUUGGGUAAUUGCGGCUAGAGGUUGCAAAUUAUUUUAGUAAUAUUAUUUAAUAUAAAUUAAUAUAACCUUAUAAAGGUAUGCUUCGAAUCUAUAACAUUCACUUGCCGCUUUUACUAUUUUUAAUGCUCUCCACGUACAACUGCUGUUGUUAUUUUUUGUAUUGCCCUUACUGCUACUGUUGCUUGCUGCUACUGCUGUUUAUUAUAAGACUCUUCUCUUUUAGUUAUUUCAACUGGCGUAUGAUUUUUAGUAGGAAAGUCUCAGGAAUCACACUGGGUUGUUUGUUUUUUUGUUAUAUAUAUACACAUGUAUAUAUCACUUUUUAAACGAUUGUUUUCAGUUCUUUAAUUUUUCCAAAAAUAAAUUGACGUUUUGAAAAAGUUCUACUCUCUAAAGUUGUUUUUCUUUCUGAGUCUGCUGUUUGAGUCACGUAUUGGCGGAUCAUGCGAUGUAGUGCAGUGCAUGCCGUCGUUAUACAUAACUCGUGUGUCAUUCGCCAGUUACAAGUCGAAAUGCUGUAACGAGUCAUCGAAAAUUGGACUUAACGGAUGGACCAUUUGAGACGUAGCCGCAGCCAAUAUCUGAAAGAGAAAAAAACAUGUAAUAAGGUUUGGCAACUGCACCGCGAAUUUUAUAAUCAAUGAGCAAGCCUGUAUACUACAACAGAACCAGUUGGGUUCAAUACUCUAAUAAAAACUUUAUUUUAUGUUUGUUUAAUCACUUACUUGCACUACAUUUUAACGGGUACAAAUAAAAUGCAAAUUCGAACAGUA